GGUGGACGGGGUCCGCAAAGCUUCUCCCUUCCUGUCACGAACAGCUGGCAGGGAAUCCCUUACUCACCUCCUUUUAUUCUUACCUGGCUUCCCUCUCUUUUGCUGGCUUGCUACCAGCAGCCAAUCCUCAGUCAGCUCCUGUCCCCAGCAACAGCUGUGUCACUACAACUGCCCAGAUACCUGUCCCCCUGCUGCCCAAUCACUGAUCUUGGG